rnacentral:rRNA from 1 species
GACGAACGCUAGCGGCAGGCUUAAUACAUGCAAGUCGUGGGGCAGCAGGCCUGUUGCAAUACAGUCGCUGGCGACCAGCAGACGGGUGAGGAACACGUACGCAACUUACCAUGAACUGGGGGAUAGCGCGGGGAAACGCGGAUUCCUACUCCGUACUCCAACGGAGUGGCAUCACUUUAUUAUUAACGCUCCGGCGGUUCGGGAUGGCGGUGGGGCUGAUUAGGUAGUUGGUUGAGGUAACGGAUCACCUAGCCUGGGAUCAGUAACUGGUGGGAGAGCACGACGAGUCAGACGGGCACUGAGACACGUGCCCGACUCAUACGGGAGGCAGCAGUAAGGGAGAUUGGAGAAUGGAGGCAACUCUGACGCAGCCAUGCCGCGUGGAGGAUGAAGGCCCGCUGGGUUGUGGACUUCGUUUAUAGGGGACGAAACCUGUGUAUUCUUGCGCAGUUGACGGUAACCUAGGAAUAAGCACCGGCUAACUCCGUG